rnacentral:rRNA from 1 species
UACGGAGGGUGCGAGCGUUGUCCGGAAUCAUUGGGCGUAAAGGGCGCGUAGGUGGCGCGGCAAGCGUGCGGUGAAAGCUCGGGGCUCAACCCCGAGUCGGCCGUGCGAACUGCCGCGCUCGAGCACUGUAGAGGCAGGCGGAAUUCCGGGUGUAGCGGUGGAAUGCGUAGAGAUCCGGAAGAACACCGGUGGCGAAGGCGGCCUGCUGGGCAGUGGCUGACACUGAGGAGCGAAAGCGUGGGUAGCAAACAGG